rnacentral:lncRNA from 1 species
GGGCAGGCUCGCCCCGAUGCAGGGCUUGAUCCAAGGACCCUGAGAUCAUGACCUGAGCUGAAGGCAGAGGCUUAACCCACUGGGCCACCCAGGUACCCCAAAAGAUUUUUUUUUAAAUAAAAUAAAUGAAUAAACAAACCUUGUCUUUUGCUGUGGUCCGUCUUCCUGCUGCAGCAGAUUCCUACGUGGAAGCCCCGAGUCUGCAGGGUGACAGUAUUUGGAGGUGGGGUCUUCGGGAGGCAAUUAGGUUUAGAGGAGGUCCUGCGGAUGGAUGGAGCCCUCCUGAUAGGAUUAGUGCCCUGAUAAGAAGGUUUACCCAGGAACUCACAAGGUUUUUCUGCAGCGUGAGGCCGCAGCGAGAUGAGAACUUGAACUCCCUCCGAACGCCGGCUGUGACGGCUCCAGAUUUGGACUUCCAGCCUCCAGAAUGUUUCUGUGGGUUGGAAUCCAGAACCUCCUUGCUGGGUACCUCGGAUUUCAGGGAUCCUUCACAGACUGCGUCAGGACGGCGGAUGGGCAGCAGUGAUCUUGGGGCUUGA